rnacentral:rRNA from 1 species
CCUACGGGAGGCAGCAGUGAGGAAUAUUGGUCAAUGGGCGCGAGCCUGAACCAGCCAAGUCGCGUGAAGGAUGACUGCCCUACGGGUUGUAAACUUCUUUUAUAAAGGAAUAAAGUGAGGCACGUGUGCCUUUUUGUAUGUACUAUAUGAAUAAGGAUCGGCUAACUCCGUGCCAGCAGCCGCGGUAAUACGGAGGAUCCGAGCGUUAUCCGGAUUUAGUGGGUUUAAAGGGAGCGUAGAUGGGUUGUUAAGUCAGUUGUGAAAGUUUGCGGCUCAACCGUGAAAUUGCAAUUGAUACUGGCUGUCUUGAGUACAGGUGAGGGAGGCGGAAUUCGUGGUGUAGCGGUGAAAUGCUUAGAUAUCACGAAGAACUCCGAUUGCGAAGGCAGCUUACUAAACUGCAACUGACAUUGAGGCUCGAAAGUGUGGGUAUCAAACAGGAUUAGAUACCCCAGUAGUC